GCCUAGCUGGCUCAGUUGGAAGAGCAUGUGACUUUUGAUCUCAGGGUUAUGAGUUUGAGCCCCAUGUUGGGUA
rnacentral:tRNA from 2 species